rnacentral:rRNA from 1 species
AUGGCGAAGGCCGCAAGAGCAGCAGCGGCGCCUCUCCACAGCGGCCUCCCGGACGAGAUCGCCAUCUGGGAGAUCCUCGUCCGCCUGCCCCCCAAAUCGCUCCUCCGCUGCCGCGCCGUCUGCCGCGCCUGGCGCAGCGCCACCUCCGCCCGCGACUUCCUCCUCGCCCACCACGCCCGCCAGCCCGCCCUCCCCAUCGCCUGCGGCGACGAAAACGGCGGCAGCCGCUACUACCUGGCCGCCCAGCUCCAGCCCGUCGCCCGGCUUGACAGGGCCUUCUGUCUGUGUGCCUCCUGCGACGGCCUCCUCCUCCUUUCCGAGUACAGCACGGCGACUGGCGACCGCUUCUCCAUCUGCAACCCCGCCACUCGUCAGUAUGCUCCCCUGCCGAUGCGUUCUGACUUCAUUCCGUUGGGAAUGUACCGGCACCGCCCUUCAGGCGAGUACCGGAUACUGAUGCACAGGGAAGCUGGUUUUCUGGCAAUCGACGGGCAAGAUGCCUGCUACAUCUUCGCAUUGGGCUCUGUCCAGCCGCCGAGGAACAUCGGGUGGCCGCAAGUGAGGUUCAGUGGGGUACCUGUCCUGCUCCACGGUAGCCUGCAUUGGCACCUAGACAAACAUCGGUACCUGGAGGAGCAUUGGCACCUAGACAAAUAUCGGUACCUGGAGGAGCAUUGGCACCUAGAUGAUCAUAUGAGCAGAAGCAACAUUAUAGUUGUAUUCGACACCAGAACAGAGACGUUUCGGAAGAUUUGUGCUCCAGUUGUUCCUGACAACAAUAAACUGUUUGAGAUGGAUGGCAUGCUCGGCAUGUCUGGCUUUAAUGAUCCAGGGCCAAUCAUUGAUAUCUGGAUGAUGCAGGACUACGAAAAUGAGGUUUGGGCCUUGAAAUACCGGGUUGAAUUGAAGAAUGCAGAUCAUCUCCUUGUGCAGUUUGGUCGUUUUGUCGAACAUUGGAAUGUGGCGGUCGCUUCUUGCGAUGGUGAUGUGCUUGUGCUGGUCAAGUUUGGCGAGUGCCUACUUCAGUUUGAUAUCAAUGGCAAGUUGGUCUGUUUCAAUCGCAAAGGACUCUGUCUUGCUCAACAUCGGCUCAAGCAAACUCUUGUUCCACAUACCUUCUUUCCGACACUAGAUGGCUAUUCCAUGAACGCUUGGCCUUUCAUCUGA